GUACUAGUAAUAAACUAGCUCGUGUUCCAGCAGUCGAGACUGAGAGGUCGAUCGACCACAUUGGGUAUGAAAAAAGCCCAAGGCGAACAGCACAGCAGUGAGGAAUAUUGGUCAAUGGUCUAACGACUGAACCAGCAAUUUGGAAGAACGUAUAAUAAAUAAAUUAUUUAAAGUUCUAGAUAAAAUAUUUAUAAUGACUAUUUUUUAUCUAUAAGUCUUGGCCAAAUUACGUGCCAGCAGUCGCGGUAAUACGUAAAAGACGAGUGUUAUUCAUCUUUAAUCGGUUUAAAGGGUACCUAGACGGAAAAUCAAGCUUAAUUAAACUAAGGACUAGUUUUCUAGAGUUUGACAUGAGAAGGUACGAACUAUCAGAGGAGAGAUAAAAUUUGUUGAUACUGGUGGGACGGACAACGGCGAAGGCAAUCUUCUACUAAAAACUGACGUUGAGGGACGAAGCCUUGGGGAGCGAGAAGGAUUAGAUACCCUAGUAGUCCUUGGAGAAAAUUAUGAGUGCCAUAGACUAAAGUGAAAAAGAAGUUCUUUUAAAAGAACUUUGUAUCUGAGCCUUAAUUGGAUACAAAGGUCUGGAGUAGCAGUUUAUAAAUGAAAGUGUAAGCAUUCCACCUCAUGACUAAAGCGGCAACGCCCAAAUUGAAAUCAUUAGACCGUUUCUGAAACCAGUAGUGAAGUAUGUUAUUUAAUUCGAUAACCCGCGAAUAACCUUACCACGUUUUGAAUUUAUUAAACAAGUGUUGCACGGCUGUCUUCAGUUAAUGUCGUGAG
rnacentral:rRNA from 1 species